GGUGCUGUAACUCAGUGGCUAGAGUGUUGCGUUGUCAGCGCAGAAGUCGAGGGUUCGAAUCCCUUCAGCACCG
rnacentral:tRNA from 1 species